rnacentral:rRNA from 1 species
AUGAUGUGGAUUAAUUCGAUGCAACGCGAAAAACCUUUACCUACCCUUGACAUGUCUGGAACCUUGCUGAGAGGCGAGGGUGCCUUCGGGAGCCAGAACACAGGUGCUGCAUGGCUGUCGUCAGCUCGUGUCGUGAGAUGUUGGGUUAAGUCCCGCAACGAGCGCAACCCUUGUCAUUAGUUGCCAUCAUUUAGUUGGGCACUCUAAUGAGACUGCCGGUGACAAACCGGAGGAAGUGGGGAUGACGUCAAGUCCUCAUGGCCCUUAUGGGUAGGGCUUCACACGUCAUACAAUGGUCGGUACAGAGGGUUGCCAAGCCGCGAGGUGGAGCCAAUCCCUUAAAGCCGAUCGUAGUCCGGAUUGCAGGCUGCAAUUCGCCUGCAUGAAGUCGGAAUCGCUAGUAAUCGCAGGUCAGCAUACUGCGGUGAAUACGUUCCCGGGCCUU